AGGACCUCCCUUCCCGCUCGCGCUCUGCGUCUGUCCGGGACCAGCCGGAGCCCUCCGCGCCCCGUGGGUUUGCCCCGCCGGCGGGGCCGGGCCGGGCCCUGGUCGCGGAGAGCCCGCGCGACGAUUCCGCGUCCCCGCCGGCCUGCGGUGGAGACGCCGCCGCGCGCCCCCCGUUCGCCAGACUGGGAAACUGGACAUGCACACGGGAAAUCCACAAAUUAUUCUAAGUGACUGAAGCCAGACAGAAAACAUCACAUGUUGUGUGACUCCGCUGUACGAGACAUCCAAACUAGGCGAUGCUUUCUGACACGAACGUGAAGAUUCCUGCACGUGUCUGCUUCUAAGAGGCUUGCAAGCCCCAACAGCCACUUGUUUUUAACAUCCUGCUUUAUAAGACAAAUUACAGUCCAAAGGGCGGAUAUCACAUUUUGAUUCAAAAAGAAAAACCUCCCAGGAUGUCUACAGGCCAGCAUGCGUUCAGUUGAGUUUUCUCUGUCGUCAACAACUACAGACCUAGAAAAGUACUAACUGAUGGUUUCAUCCAAAGCACUUCAGCAUCAACAAAGAACAGGGCGUUGUUUUGAGCACUGUUUUCUUUAAAGAUUGGCAAUUCCUGAAACUGAGGUAAAAAUAACAAUGCUAACCAUUCGGCGCACACCGACGUGGGCCAGGCAUCAUGACUCAUCUUCGCAACAGCCUCCCGAGCCAUGCUCUUCAACCUCGCUUUAUUUUCGUUUAUUUUUUGCUUUCUAGGGCCACACCAGCGGAACAUGGAGGUUCCCAGGCUAAGGGUCGAAUCAGAGCUACAGCUGCCGGCCGACACCACUGGCACAGGAACUCAGGAUCCACAGCUCACGGCAAUGCUGGAUCCUUAACCCACUGAGCGAGGCCAGGGAUCGAACCCGCAUCCUCAUGGAGACUAGUCGGGCGGUUUCUGCUGAGCCACGAGGGAACUCCUCGACUUCAUUUUAAAGAUGAGGACGUGAAGAACCCAGGUAACUUGUACAAGGUUACACAUCUCAAACAUAAGCAGUUGGCUGGGAUAGUCACUUCCCAGACACUUGAGAGCUGUAGGCGUUCAGCUCACUUUGUUGCUCUAUGUUCUAAGAAAUCUGUUCUCAGUGCCUCCAGCCCCGGAGCCAGCCUCCUCCUCUGAGCUAGACUGCGUCUGGAGUACCGGGUUCGGUUCUGGGUGCCACACCGCCCAGAAAAGGGUGACAACCAACAGUCAGGACUUGGUCGGAGAUGGCAUGGGCCUCCUGCAUGCUGUGGGCACCGUUCCAACGCCACGUUGCAGGCAUCAGGUGGCCUUGAGGCCAGACGUUAAAAUGAACUUUCGGACUCAAAUCCCUAGGAGUCACUGGUGAUUUUGAAGAAGAAAAGGGCAGAACAAUUUCUACCAAGUUCGAGUGUGCAGUUGUGUCACCGGGAGAUGGUUCGAUGACCCGUCGAGCGUCCCCACCAGUCUGUCUGAGGGGUGGAGGACUUUCAUGCGUAAAAGGUGAACGUUUCACCAUCCGCCUCAGGACAAAGCUACAGACUUGAUUUUUAGCUUUCGAGUGGCAGAGGGUGUUUAUUUUCAAUCAUGCAAGGAGGGGAAUCCAUAGCUCAAAAGUAUCACCCAUCUUAUGAAUCUAUCGUGACUUUUUUCAUAGAAGACAGAGUGUACAUUUAGAAAUAUUUAAUCAUUGUUUACAAAGAUUCAACUCACCCUAGGCCAGAUGUUUUUCUUUUAAACGGAACAGUUGGAAAAAAAAAAUAAAGUGGAACAGUUGGAUUUGGGGCAGGGGCGAGGGUGGGAGCGUGUGGCAGACUUUAUCCCCCCAAAUGAAUUUUGCCUCAAUCGCCUGGGCUAGGUUGGAGGAAUGUUUUGGAAACACACAUUCUUAUUAAUGUAGACUCUGCUGAAGGUGACCCCCGCGACUGCAUAGUGCAGGCAUCACGGGUAAGUGACUACAGGCCACUCUGCUUCUGCUGCCUUUCAUGAGCUCUAAGGAUGAAGUCAAUGUUCGUUAUUGUUUAGAGCAGCUCUGUCUUUAUCCGACACGAAAUGCCCCUUCUCCAUUUUCUUGCCCGGUCUCUUUGAUCAGGACCACAUCUCAUACGUACACAAGGAGUUAUUUGCUUCGCUGUUCCUGGUCGGAGGGGUUACCGUCCCCAUCUUGCACCUGAGGAAACAGGUGCAGAGAAACGUGAAGCGGUUUCAGCAAGGCCUCGGAAGAACUCCGCGGUAGAGUCUGCAUAGAAAGGGAGCCGUGGAUGGAGCUGUGUGCUUUAUAUACAUCUCUCGAACUUGGUUAGAAUAGAUUCUGCACGCGUCUUAACCAGAGCUUCAUCUUUAUAGUUCACAUAUGUCUGUUGAUAGGAAGCCUCUCCUUAAGAGGGCCCCACACGGUACCCAAUGAAACGGGAUUGCUUGUGGGUCAGAGUUCUCAGGGCUCAUCACUUCCCUGAUAAACACAUUAUAGAUAGAAUCACAAAAAGACCAUGUGGCUUGAAACGCUUCCCAUAAAACAGAUGGGAAAACAUCUGGCAUAUUCCCUGACAUCAGAGCCACACAGUACCUUGCUCAAUGCUACCGAAGCCAACGAUUUCACAACAGUGUGGGCCAGAGACAGUAAAUUUGAAGCCGUGACAUUCGGGUACAUUGCGAAAGGGCUGCUGUUUGCGAAGGAAAAGCAUUUCAUGAGCAGGAGCAAACACGUCUGGAAUGCCUUCCAGAUGCUGCUUCGGCGCAUCCUCACGGUUCCGCGUGGAAGGCACCUGCAUUUAGAGAUGAGGACAGGGAGAGGCUGCCCUGCCCGAGGCUAAGGGCAGAGCCGGGUUCAAACUCAGGCCCGUCUCACACCCGGAUGCCGCCUAACAGUUAAUCACUGUUUUCGAAACGAGGGCCUUAGGAAAAAACCAUCAAACAGGAACUCCUUGAUGGAGAAAAUAACUGAACGGGGCUCCCGACGCAGCUGGUUGCUUCCAGAGAUGGUCCUUCGCGUUCUCACGGCUCCAGGGACUUUGUCCUUUUGGAGACAGAAUUCGAGAACAGUGAAGAAGUAGGGAGUUAUCGAUCCCGACAUAUGAAGGUUGGUUACUUUCAAUACCCCUUUAAGAGUAAACAUCAUUGCUCAGUGAGCAAAUCAGAUAGCUAGCAGGCACUGCACUUUCAUCUCUGAACUGUGGAGGCGGUUACGAGUUGGAAUGCAAUCCUGCUGCGCAACUGAGUCUUAAGUUUCCAAAUGCUUCAGUCAUGGCCCCAAACUCCUCGUGGUUGCCUGUAAACUGGCUUAACGACAGGGAACUUGCCUCUGACAAACAGCGUUGACAUUUAGAGGCCUAAUCUAUAGACACCCUGAAAACAGCAUGUACUGCAGCUAAACCACAUCCCAUCACAGUAACUUGCAAAUGUGUUGGCUUCCUUUUUUACUGAUAAAAAUCCAGGCUUUGGACACAGGACAGUCUUCCAAAUCCUUCUUCCUACCACUUCAAAGCACCUCUUUUUAGUUUUACUUGCAUAAUUCCCUCCUAUCUCACAGGAAAGGAUUGCCGCUUCUUUCCGAUAGCGUGGAUAUGUCCAAAUCAUUAAAUAUUUCUCGGCAUUAUCUUUAAUAGUGCCCUAGUACUCCAAUACGCAGCGCUGCUCCAACCAAGUUCACGAUUCUCCCAGGGGAAGAUGUUUUGGUUGUUUCCAACUUAGUGGUAUAGACAACACUGGCUCGACUAUCGCGGGAGCUGUGCAUGCAGAUAUUCAUGAAAAAUUCCGUACGAUAAAUUCUUAAGGAAUGGUUCUUGACCUUGGCCACACUGCUUCCUACCAAGACUGCCCCAAGGUCAAGGCAACCAAUAGUGGGGGCAACUGAGAGUCUUCUUGUACCCUCCCCUUUUGGGGAGGAUUGUUUGACAAUUUGCUGGCCAAAAUAGGGGCACC
rnacentral:lncRNA from 9 species